AUCAACCCUGCCUCCCUAAUCCUGUCUAGUAUAGCUCCUUCAUGUUCCAAGUGUCGCUGUAUUAUAUGGCGAUGUCAACCAGGCAUAGUCCUGGAGACCCUCCAACAGCCGAUCCACCAUCCAUUGGAAGGUGGCUGGAGCAUUCUUUAUCCCAAAUGGCAUUACCUUAAACUGGUACAGGCCAAAUCGGGUGACGAAGGCCGACUUGAGAACAGCCAGCCAGUAUCCCUU